ACAGAGGGGGCAAGCGUUGUUCGGAAUUACUGGGCGUAAAGGGCGCGUAGGCGGCCUGUUAAGUCGGACGUGAAAUCCCUCGGCUCAACCGGGGAACUGCGUCCGAUACUGGCGAGCUAGAGUGCGGUAGAGGAUAGUGGAAUUCCUGGUGUAGCAGUGAAAUGCGUAGAGAUCAGGAGGAACAUCCGUGGCGAAGGCGACUGUCUGGACCAGCACUGACACUGAGGCACGAAAGCGUGGGGAGCAAACAGGA
rnacentral:rRNA from 1 species